rnacentral:piRNA from 7 species
CGGAUAGCUCAGUCGGUAGAGCAUCA